GAGGCUCAAUCAAAGGCCCAGGAUGAAGGACGGAGACACAAGAACAAACGCCACAAGCUUCGUCUUAAAAUAAAGGAUCUUGAGGGAAGGGGUCCUCUUCUGACCGAAGAGCUCAGAAAGCAGAUACAGGCAGAAUAUAGAGACUCGGACGAGCUUAACGUCGAGAUCAUGAAAGUUUACUCGGAAGGCUACGAAGACUGCCGAGAGAGAGGCAAAGAAAAACUGUCUGCUGCUCAACUGGACCCAACUCUACUCAACUCCGAAGACGAAGGUGGUGCCUAGGUGUUCUUCCUGCUUUCAUUCUGACUUAUGUAAAAAUUUAUCUGUUUAAACAUUUUACGUUUCUAUAUUAGUGUAUUUUUGUUCAUGAAUGAAUAGGUCAAAUGAAUGUUUUAGUUUUCCUGACGAAUUUGCAAUCUCUUUAAUUGUGAACUAUGUUCUCGGUUAGUUUCUUGUCAAUAAUUCAAUAUCAGUAAAAUGAACCUAAACAGUGAAUCAGUUAAGAUAUAUAAUAGUUAAUGUAUGAGACGAAGGGAAUUGAAUUUCAUGGACAGGAUUUAACUUAACUGAACAGAAAGGACUGAACUCAAACACUUCGAGGAUUUAACUCAAAUUGUUAAUUAACAAUUAAGCAUGUCAUAUAACAGAUAAAGUGAUGUUAAAGAACGAGGCAUUCCGAACUCAACACUUAAAUAAAAUAAAGUACCACAUACUCAUCGGUUCCGAAGUGUGAGAUCGGUCAUUUGU
rnacentral:lncRNA from 1 species